rnacentral:rRNA from 1 species
UACGUAGGGAGCAAGCGUUGUUCGGAUUUACUGGGCGUAAAGGGCGCGUAGGCGGCAAUUCAAGUCAUCUGUGAAAUCUCCGGGCUUAACUCGGAACGGUCAGAUGAUACUGCUUUGCUAGAGUGCAGAAGGGGCAAUCGGAAUUCUCGGUGUAGCGGUGAAAUGCGUAGAUAUCGAGAGGAACACCAGAGGUGAAGACGGGUUGCUGGGCUGACACUGACGCUGAGGCGCGAAAGCAUGGGGAGCAAACAGG